GACGAACGCUGGCGGCGUGCUUAACACAUGCAAGUCGAACGGAAAGGCCCUGCUUUUGUGGGGUGCUCGAGCGGCGAACGGGUGAGUAACACGUGAGUAACCUGCCCUUGACUUUGGGAUAACUUCAGGAAACUGGGGCUAAUACCGGAUAGGAGCUCCUGCUGCAUGGUGGGGGUUGGAAAGUUUCGGCGGUUGGGGAUGGACUCGCGGCUUAUCAGCUUGUUGGUGGGGUAGUGGCUUACCAAGGCUUUGACGGGUAGCCUGCCUGAGAGGGUGACCGGCCACAAUGGGACUGAGGUACGGCCCAGACUCCUACGGGAGGCAGCAGUGGGGAAUAUUGCACAAUGGGCGGAAGCCUGAUGCAGCAACGCCGCGUGCGGGAUGACGGCCUUCGGGUUGUAAACCGCUUUCGCCUGUGACGAAGCGUGAGUGACGGUAAUGGGUAAAGAAGCACCGGCUAACUACGUG
rnacentral:rRNA from 1 species